CAUGUCACAUAAAUGCACCUGCAGUUCUCGAAAAUGCACACCCGAACCCUCUUAAUCUAACUUGACGUAGUUCAGUUGACAAAUAGCAACCCAAUUUUUGUAUUGUGACCACAUCAUAUUCAGUUAUAACCAAUUCAAAUAGCAUACGAGUAGAUAACUACAUGACCAACUCAAAAAUGGAGGCAAUAGCCAAACAAAUCACAAAACCAAAUCACCAAACAAGCGAUUAACAUUCAAGUAGAAUAAAAUAAAUAAAGGAUUGAAGACCUUUUCGACGUCCACUAGAUAUGAACCGCACGUAAUCCUUGAAUUCGAAGCAGAACUACCACGAACCGACAAACCAAUGCACAUGGUUUACUUCCUUAAGCAGAAACUUUGCGCUAGCAAUAUGACACUCUCUUUUGUCUACUUUGUCCAGAUUUACCCGAAGUUCUUGUUUGAAUCCAUCAAUUAAGUAACAACACCAGAUUUUGCUUUUACAAAGUAGACCACUAGUAAGGAGCUAAGAACCGACAGUCUCACACCAAUUUUUCCACUUUCUUUGUAAAGACGACCAUCUUGCAUAACUGCACUAUAAACACCUUCCAAAUAUGUAAUCUGACCCAAACAAUCCGCUCAUUAACCCCAACAUGUUUUAUGAAAUUAUUUGAACGAGCAUCAAUUGACAAUGUUUUCAUCUCAACGAGCCAACUUAUGUUGAGUCCGAAAACAAUUUCAAGCAGACAACAAAAUCUGAAGUGAAAAUAUCUACAACGCCGUAGCAGGAAUCGUUAGCACGAAUCAGAACUAUGAAUUGGCGAAAAUCUUCAAUCGGACAAGACGAUUCUCAUCCUCAAAUCUCGAAUUAUAAAACUCUAUUACAACUAAAACAUGAAAUACAAACCAACAGAACCGUGAACUGGACAACAGAACACUUUGUAUUUACCUUUCUGAAAUACAAACCAAAUUUCCAAAAUAAAAGAAAAUUUCGAAAAUUAAGAGAAUAACACAAGACACCUUCACUAUUUUUUAUUUUCUGGGAAUUGUUUAAGAACUCAAAUUGCUUUCCAAUUUCAAGAACUUCGACAACUAUGGAAACUGAAAAUUGAACUUUCAAUUGAUGAAAUAUUCAGUAGUAUAUGGACAAAAAUCGAGCAAAUGUUACAACUAAAACUCGAAAUAGGAAUCAGACUCAAAUGGGAACAAGAACCGCACUGUGAACGACACCGCGAACUCAAUCGAACUCCAUGUUUUGAAGCAAAAUUUCUCACUCGCUCAUCGUUGCUCUCUGAUCGUCUGAAUAUGCGUGUGUGUGGUCGUUUGGAGGUGAGCAUCGGGUGGUCGACUGGUGUUCCAGCGAAGCAACCGCUGCUGGUGUGGGGCUCCACCAGAGAUGAGGGAAAAUAGN
rnacentral:lncRNA from 1 species